rnacentral:rRNA from 1 species
AUUGAACGCUGGCGGCAGGCCUAACACAUGCAAGUCGAGCGGUAACACAAGGGAGCUUGCUCCUGAGGUGACGAGCGGCGGACGGGUGAGUAAUGCCUAGGGAUCUGCCCAGUCGAGGGGGAUAACAGUUGGAAACGACUGCUAAUACCGCAUACGCCCUACGGGGGAAAGGAGGGGACCUUCGGGCCUUCCGCGAUUGGAUGAACCUAGGUGGGAUUAGCUAGUUGGUGAGGUAAUGGCUCACCAAGGCGACGAUCCCUAGCUGUUCUGAGAGGAUGAUCAGCCACACUGGGACUGAGACACGGCCCAGACUCCUACGGGAGGCAGCAGUGGGGAAUAUUGCACAAUGGGGGAAACCCUGAUGCAGCCAUGCCGCGUGUGUGAAGAAGGCCUUCGGGUUGUAAAGCACUUUCAGUAGGGAGGAAAGGUAAUAGUUUAAUAAACUAUUACUGUGACGUUACCUACAGAAGAAGGACCGGCUAACUCCGUGCCAGCAGCCGCGGUAAUACGGAGGGUCCGAGCGUUAAUCGGAAUUACUGGGCGUAAGGCGUGCGCAGGCGGUUUGUUAAGCCAGAUGUGAGAUCCCCGGGCUCAACCUGGGAAUUGCAUUUGGAACUGGCGAACUAGAGUCUUGUAGAGGGGGGUAGAAUUCCAGGUGUAGCGGUGAAAUGCGUAGAUAUCUGGAGGAAUACCGGUGGCGAAGGCGGCCCCCUGGACAAAGACUGACGCUCAUGCACGAAAGCGUGGGGAGCAAGCAGGAUUAGAUACCCUGGUAGUCCACGCCGUAAACGAUGUCUACUCGGAGUUUGGCGACUUAGUCACUGGGCUCCCAAGCUAACGCAUUAAGUAGACCGCCUGGGGAGUACGGCCGCAAGGUUAAAACUCAAAUGAAUUGACGGGGGCCCGCACAAGCGGUGGAGCAUGUGGUUUAAUUCGAUGCAACGCGAAGAACCUUACCUACUCUUGACAUCCACAGAAGAGACCAGAGAUGGACU